AGAAAGAACAGAGGAUGGCAAGAAGAAAGUGAAAGGGGAAACUGACAAAGGAAAAGGAACCAAGACGAUUGAGGGCACUCUGUCCUGUAUAUCUGGGGCGCUAACUCACCAUGUAAAGAAAAGCCACACUGGCCAUCUCUUUGUGGAAAAGGCAACCCUUGGGUCUGCAGCCAGACUCGGGAGGCUCCUGGCAUACCAUGGACCACAAAAGAGCCCUGUUUGUUUUGGAUAAUUUAGGAGGAACAAGGUAAAAGCAGCAGCUCCGGGGGGGGGGGGGGGGGGGGGCUUUGCACACCAGGUUUUAUUGGAAAGGGAACAAAAUGGCAGUUAUCCAAACAGGAGCAUAGACAAAAACAGCAUCUGGACAUUUGAAAAGUUAAAUGAACUACUUUGAUUGGCUGUACUGUUCCUUCGGUUGCUUGUGAAGCCUGUGCACAAAGCAUGAGAAAUUCUUAACAGUGCUUCUAGUGCUCAGUGCACUGUCCAUUCACUUUAUAUUAUCCCAGACUUAGAUACUUGCAAGAAUAUUUUUCAUCUGUGGAUUGGUGAGAUUUCUAAAUUCAGAAUGUAUGGAGGUAAUUUGAGCUCUGUUUAUAUAAGACAUGUUCAUGUUGGCAUUUGUCCCUAACUCUGUUUCUAUAAUCAUGCCUCCCCACCCGGUGCUGUAACUUCGGCUGAGUGUAAAGCAAUAGCCCACCAGUGGCUAGGAAUGGUCCCACAUGGACAAUCUAGAAUGAUUUUUUCCUACUAACUAAAUAAAGAAAUGCUCAUAUUUA